rnacentral:rRNA from 1 species
AGAGUUUGAUCAUGGCUCAGAGCGAACGCUGGCGGCAGGCUUAACACAUGCAAGUCGAGCGGGCGUAGCAAUACGUCAGCGGCAGACGGGUGAGUAACGCGUGGGAACGUACCUUUUGGUUCGGAACAACACAGGGAAACUUGUGCUAAUACCGGAUAAGCCCUUACGGGGAAAGAUUUAUCGCCGAAAGAUCGGCCCGCGUCUGAUUAGCUAGUUGGUGAGGUAACGGCUCACCAAGGCGACGAUCAGUAGCUGGUCUGAGAGGAUGAUCAGCCACAUUGGGACUGAGACACGGCCCAAACUCCUACGGGAGGCAGCAGUGGGGAAUAUUGGACAAUGGGGGCAACCCUGAUCCAGCCAUGCCGCGUGAGUGAUGAAGGCCCUAGGGUUGUAAAGCUCUUUUGUGCGGGAAGAUAAUGACGGUACCGCAAGAAUAAGCCCCGGCUAACUUCGUGCCAGCCGCCGCGGUAAUAC